rnacentral:rRNA from 1 species
UACGUAGGUGGCAAGCGUUGUCCGGAUUUACUGGGCGUAAAGAGCGCGCAGGCGGUCGUUCAAGUCGAGUGUGAAAGCCCCCGGCUCAACUGGGGAGGGUCACUCGAUACUGAUCGACUCGAAGGCAGGAGAGGGAAGCGGAAUUCCCGGUGUAGUGGUGAAAUGCGUAGAUAUCGGGAGGAACACCAGUGGCGAAGGCGGCUUUCAGGCCUGCUCUUGACGCUGAGGCGCGAAAGCUAGGGUAGCAAACGGG